rnacentral:rRNA from 1 species
AACGAACGCUGGCGGCAUGCCUAACACAUGCAAGUCGAACGAGAUCUUCGGGUCUAGUGGCGCACGGGUGCGUAACGCGUGGGAAUCUGCCCUUUGGUUCGGAAUAACAGUUGGAAACGACUGCUAAUACCGGAUGAUGACGAAAGUCCAAAGAUUUAUCGCCAGAGGAUGAGCCCGCGUAGGAUUAGCUAGUUGGUGUGGUAAAGGCGCACCAAGGCGACGAUCCUUAGCUGGUCUGAGAGGAUGACCAGCCACACUGGGACUGAGACACGGCUCAGACUCCUACGGGAGGCAGCAGUGGGGAAUAUUGGACAAUGGGCGAAAGCCUGAUCCAGCAAUGCCGCGUGAGUGAUGAAGGCCUUAGGGUUGUAAAGCUCUUUUACCCGGGAUGGUAAUGACAGUACCGGGAGAAUAAGCUCCGGCUAACUCCGUGCCAGCCGCCGCAGUAA